GCCGGGCAUGGUGGCACAUGCCUGUAGUCCCAGCUACUCGGGAGGCUGAGGCUGGAGGCUGAGGCUGGAGGAUGGCUUGAGUCCAGGAGUUCACUAUGCCGAUCACACUAAGUGUCCGCACUAAGUUCGGCAUCAAUAUGGUGACCUCCCGGGAGCGGGGGACCACCAGGUUGCCUAAGGAGGGGUGAACCGGCCCAGGUCAGAAACGGAGCAGGUCAAAACUCCCGUGCUGAUCAGUAGUGGGAUCGCACCUGUGAAUAGCCACUGAACUCCAGCCUGGGCAACAUAGUGAGACCCCAUCUCU
rnacentral:SRP_RNA from 1 species